rnacentral:rRNA from 1 species
CCUACGGGAGGCAGCAGUGGGGAAUAUUGCACAAUGGGCGCAAGCCUGAUGCAGCGACGCCGCGUGGGGGAUGAAGGCACUUCGGGUUGUAAACUCACUUUCGCUAGGGACGAAGCUUUAGUUGUGACGGUACCUAGAUAAGAAGCACCGAGCUAACUACGUGCCAGCAGCCGCGGUAAUACGUAGGGUGCGAGCGUUGUCCGGAAUUACUGGAGCGUAAAGGGCUGUAGGUGGUUUGUCGACGUCGUCUGUGAAAUUCUGGGGCUUAACUCCGGGACGUGCAGGCGAUACGGGCAUAACUUGAGUGCUGUAGGGGUAACUGGAAUUCCUGGUGUAGCGGUGAAAUGCGCAGAUAUCAGGAGGAACACCGAUGGCGAAGGCAGGUUACUGGGCAGUUACUGACGCUGAGGAGCGAAAGCAUGGGUAGCGAACAGGAUUAGAUACCCGUGUAGUC